rnacentral:rRNA from 1 species
UACGGAGGGUGCAAGCGUUAAUCGGAAUUACUGGGCGUAAAGCGCACGCAGGUGGCUGAGUCAGUCGAUUGUGAAAGCCCUGGGCUUAACCUGGGAAUUGCAUUCGAGACUGAAUAGCUAGGGUACGGUAGAGGGAAGCGGAAUUUCCGGUGUAGCGGUGAAAUGCGUAGAUAUCGGAAGGAACAUCAGUGGCGAAAGCGGGUCUCUGGGCAACAACUGACGCUGAGGAGCGAAAGCGUGGGGAGCGAACAGG